UGGGGCGUCGCCAAGUUGGUAAGGCACAGGGUUUUGAUCCCUGCAUUCCCAGGUUCGAGUCCUGGCGCCCCAACCA
rnacentral:tRNA from 1 species